GCAAGUCGAGCGAACAGAUGAGAAGCUUGCUUCUCUGAUGUUAGCGGCGGACGGGUGAGUAACACGUGGGUAACCUACCUAUAAGACUGGGAUAACUCCGGGAAACCGGGGCUAAUACCGGAUAAUAUUUUGAACCGCAUGGUUCAAUAGUGAAAGACGGUUUCGGCUGUCACUUAUAGAUGGACCCGCGCCGUAUUAGCUAGUUGGUAAGGUAACGGCUUACCAAGGCGACGAUACGUAGCCGACCUGAGAGGGUGAUCGGCCACACUGGAACUGAGACACGGUCCAGACUCCUACGGGAGGCAGCAGUAGGGAAUCUUCCGCAAUGGGCGAAAGCCUGACGGAGCAACGCCGCGUGAGUGAUGAAGGUCUUCGGAUCGUAAAACUCUGUUGUUAGGGAAGAACAAAUUUGUUAGUAACUGAACAAGUCUUGACGGUACCUAACCAGAAAGCCACGGCUAACUACGUGCCAGCAGCCGCGGUAAUACGUAGGUGGCAAGCGUUAUCCGGAAUUAUUGGGCGUAAAGCGCGCGUAGGCGGUUUCUUAAGUCUGAUGUGAAAGCCCACGGCUCAACCGUGGAGGGUCAUUGGAAACUGGGAAACUUGAGUGCAGAAGAGGAGAGUGGAAUUCCAUGUGUAGCGGUGAAAUGCGCAGAGAUAUGGAGGAACACCAGUGGCGAAGGCGGCUCUCUGGUCUGUAACUGACGCUGAUGUGCGAAAGCGUGGGGAUCAAACAGGAUUAGAUACCCUGGAAGUCCACGCCGUAAACGAUGAGUGCUAAGUGUUAGGGGUUUCCGCCCCUUAGUGCUGCAGCUAACGCAUUAAAGCACUCCGCC
rnacentral:rRNA from 1 species